UACAGAGGGUGCGAGCGUUAAUCGGAAUUACUGGGCGUAAAGCGCACGUAGGCGGCUUGGUAUGUCGGGUGUGAAAUCCCCGGGCUCAACCUGGGAACUGCAUCCGAAACUGCCUUGCUUGAGUAUGGGAGAGGGAAGUGGAAUUUCCGGUGUAGCGGUGAAAUGCGUAGAUAUCGGAAGGAACAUCAGUGGCGAAAGCGACUUCCUGGACCAAUACUGACACUCAAGUGCGAAAGCGUGGGGAGCAAACAGG
rnacentral:rRNA from 1 species